GCUGCAACUCCACAGCACGGCCUUGAUGGUCGAGGUGAUUUACAGCUGGCAACAAGUCAAUAGAAACUCUUUAUUAUGAGCUCAUAAUCUCUUACUGUUUACCAGCACAGUAAGCUCUUAUUAUUUACCACCUGAACAAUAGUGUUGAAUAACACAGCACGUACAGUAUUAGAGUAUUAACUGGAGAAGAUGGAUGUAUCUUAAAGAAUAGACUAUUUUAAGGUGCUAUUUUUUAAUCAAACACAUACGCAAUUGCACAGACACACACAAUAUUAUUCUUAGGAACGCCAGCUGGGACUAAACCUGCAUCUCACAACUGUGUUUUUCACAUUAGAAACCCGAUAGAUGCUGGACUGGUUGAAGGUUCUGACAAUGUCAAAACCGUUGCCUAAAAUUAACUGGCGUACUGUUUGGCUUGCGGUUAAAGGGACAGGUCACCAAAAAAAACUGUAUUCUUCCAAUGAAUUAUUCACCUCAAAUGAAAUUUCUGGCACCGUUGAUUUACCUCGAUUUAAACCUUUCUUUCUUUUGUGUUUGUUAACCUCUGGAAAGGAGAGUAAAAUACUAUAAAAUGAUCAUAAUGCGUCCAGGUCUUGUGAAGGCAUAGGAUAUAUCUGUGUGAAGAAUAGGCCUGAGUUAUGUCUUAUUCACUGUGCAUCUCUUAAAUCACAACUGCACACUUUCAGUCUAACAUCUCUAUUUGUGUUUCGCAGAUUUGGAAGAACCUAAGGAGGAAGAAAACAAAGGAGUCAGAGUGAAACAAAAUGGCGAGGAAGACACCAAUAUUCUGUCUAACAUCUACAGAUUAAAACAUGUUCAGGUGAGCUUCACAAAGACCAGAUAGUGAAGAAAUGGCAUCGCUCAGGUGAACCGCAUGACCGCACGCUGUACCGGAGCCAAAGCUUUCUCCCAGGGUUUGGUUGUGUACAGUCGAACACCUGCAUGCGCACCCGUACUGCUGAUGGCUGUUAAUUUCCUGAAAGAUGUGGCUUUGCGCUGAAGGGAAACCAGCGAUGUACAACACAGUUUACGCUGGAGCCCAGCUGCCUGUUUGGAAACCACGCACGCAAUGAGGAUGAAUUGUGUUUAACUCAGGACAAAUACCGUUUGCUUUGAGCUACACCACACUUGACCCCCCUAGAAGCCUUUAAACCAUCAUGAUGAAUUCUAGCACAUUCAAAUGAAAUGGAGCAUCUGACGUAUUGUGAGUUUAAGGGGAAUUUUGUUGUUAUCUUCACAAGUACUUCCUCAUACCAACGGCAUUAACAAAAACAAUACAAGAAAAUGAUUUUGACUUUUUGAAUAGAUAAAAAACAAGCCUGUGUGUCUUAACCUCACAUCCACCAGACAGGAGAAUGAGAUUACGUAUGUCAUUAUUAAUAAUUGUAUGCACUUGGACAGUAACCAUUGCAUUACAGUAAAUAAAUGUUUCUUCAGCAGCCAUUCAGUACGAGAUCAAAAAAUCAGUGUUAAUGUAAGUAUGAUAAGGAAAGAUUUGCAAAUACAACAGAGAUAUAAAACAUAUUACACAUAUUAAGUGAUAUUCAAGAUUUUCCCAAUUAACAAUUCAUGUCACAGCAUGGUUAACUGAGUCAUGUAAAUAAGUGCAUGUGCAAUCACAUGCACACAAGCUGAAUGACUAAAUGUAAAAAGAUAUGGAAUUAUGCCACAGUUUACGGCAGGUUGUGGAAGGUACCGUACUUUCCAUCUACUGAUGAACACUGAUAGGUUGAUCAUUUGGAGGAAGAGAGAGUUUCCAGUUCUCAUGCAAAAUAAAUGAAUUCUUUGUAUUGUCUCGGGCAUUAAUUCUCACCAAGAGGUUUAUAGCAUAUGAUACCUGCCUUUACACUUGGUGUAAUCCAACAUAUAUUUAUUGCUUUUAAAAUAAGAUGAGGCUUAAAGGUAAACAUCUUCUCAUGAUACAUUGCAAUAAUGGUUAUUUUCAUUGUAAUGAAUGUGUAAAGUACCUAAACUUUUAUUAACUGCAAGUUUCCUUUCUGUAUAUUUAACAAGACAAUAUUUGUACUUGGUAAAUUGCUUCACAUUUGAUCGAUUCUUUGUGUCUUUACAUUACUUUUUGCUCUUAUUUGUUAGGUACAUGUGCAUGCAUCAUGCAUUACAUGAAGAACAGUUUUAUGCACAAUAUUUGAUGCAUUUUCUCUGUAAUUUAUUGUUCACAUAUCUUUGGUAUUUAUUUUAUGAUUUAUAGGAUCUGUUGUUAUUGU